UGGCGACCGGCGCACGGGUGAGUAACACGUAUCCAACCUGCCGAUGACUCGGGGAUAGCCUUUCGAAAGAAAGAUUAAUACCCGAUGGCAUAGUUCUUCCGCAUGGUAGAACUAUUAAAGAAUUUCGGUUAUCGAUGGGGAUGCGUUCCAUUAGGCAGUUGGUGAGGUAACGGCUCACCAAACCUUCGAUGGAUAGGGGUUCUGAGAGGAAGGUCCCCCACAUUGGAACUGAGACACGGUCCAA
rnacentral:rRNA from 1 species